rnacentral:lncRNA from 1 species
UCUGUAUCUUCGUCAGGGAGACACUGCUGUUUUCCAACUGGGCCAUCACCGCCGACAUCCUCAUGCACGUGGUCAUCCCCAGCCGGUGUGCCACGGCUGUGGCCUUGCAGAGCUUCACCUCCCACCUGCUGGAGGAUGCCGGGAGCCCCUACCUCAUUGGCAUUGUGAGUCACCCUGGGCGGGGGCUGGCCUGGGGAGGCUGGGGGCUUCGGGGGCUGUGCCCUGACACCCACCCCCACAUCCUCGCAGAUCUCAGACCUGAUCUGCCAGAGCACCAAGGACUCCCUGCUCUGGGAGUUCCUGAGCCUGGGCUAUGUGCUCAUGCUCUGCCCCUUCGUCGUGGUCCUGGGGGGCAUGUUCUUCCUCGCCAUGGUGCUCUUCUUCCUCAGCGACCGUGCCGAGGCUGAGCAGCAGUGAGUGGGGCUGAGGGGAGGCCUGCUGGGGAGCCCUGCUCGGGGGUGGCGGAGGGGAGACCUGGGUGCACCCAGUGGGUGGCCUGGUUGCUGGGGUCCAGCCCCCGGGCCUCCCCACACCUGUGGGGCUCAGUGCCAGCAUUGGCCUGGAGCUGUGGGGGGCCACAGGGGUGUCUGGUGGGUCCAGGCUUGGACUUGGUGGUUUUUGAAGCUGGGACCCCUCCCCAUUCGUUUUCCUCUCACCUUCUGACUUCUUUCUCCUUUCCUCUUUCCUCCUCUCUCUCCUCUCCCCACCCCUGGGCUCUCCCACCUCCCCCUGGGGCUGACGAGGUCCCUGCCCAGCACCUCCGGUCAGCUGGCCCCCACAACAUGAUGUGCCAGAGCAGUGCCCGGGCCCAGGCCCGGCCCCUGCUGACGCGCCACCCUGACCCCUGCCCGUCGCUCCCCCAGGGUGAACCAGCUGGUGAUGCCGCCCAAAUCUGUGAAAGUCUGAGGUGGUGAGUGCAGGCAGAGAGGCCCUCGGGAAGGGGGAAGGCCAGGGCUAGGUGACAGGGAGCA